rnacentral:rRNA from 1 species
UACGUAGGUGGCAAGCGUUAUCCGGAAUUAUUGGGCGUAAAGAGCGCGCAGGUGGUUGAUUAAGUCUGAUGUGAAAGCCCACGGCUUAACCGUGGAGGGUCAUUGGAAACUGGUCGACUUGAGUGCAGAAGAGGGAAGUGGAAUUCCAUGUGUAGCGGUGAAAUGCGUAGAGAUAUGGAGGAACACCAGUGGCGAAGGCGGCUUCCUGGUCUAUUAUUGACGCUGAGGCUCGAAAGCAUGGGUAGCAAACAGGAUUAGAUA